rnacentral:lncRNA from 1 species
GGUUUAUAAAAUUUUAAAUAGUUUUUAUUAAAAAAAAAAAUGUGACAAGUAGGGAAUUGAUAGUUCUUGGACGAUAAGAGUGUAAAAUGUACAUUUUAAUAUGGAUAAAUUACACUUUUGAUCCUCAAACUAUGAGGGAUGUGAUAUCUUAGUCGUCAAAAUUUAAUUUAUUGUAAUUUUUAACUUAAACUUCGUAAAUUGUUAUAGUCGAUUUUUACAAUCUACUUUAAUUGGCUUGUAUUGACAUUAUUGAUAUAGAAGUAAUCUAGCAUUUUAAUUAUUAUUGCAUCAGCAAUCAUAAUACUUUCACAUUAUUUUUCCAUUAAUAAUCUCUUAACAUUUAGCCAAGUAAAUUAGGUUUAAAAUUAGAUUAUAAUAAUUCAAAAAAUUUGAGCUAGAAAUUAUAACAAAUUAGAAUUUGAUGACCAA